AGUGGAAUAUAGAAUAUAGUGAAUUUCUAACCCCUGCACCAGUGGGGAGGGUGGCUUAUAUAGAGUGCGCUGCCCUCCACAACGGUUCGGUGCAUAGGGGUGGAGUAGUGGCGAAUAAAUGCCUACGUUACAGGUAACGUACGUCUUAAAUGCUAAUAAAGGCACAUGGAAACGUAUGACCGUUUCCCUCCAGGGGGGUUACGAUGCACAGAGUGGAAUCCAGUCGGUCAGUUUGAUAUACUCCGAAUGCUAGUUUUCGACUGGAUGGUCAAGGAUCUGUUACCGACUGGAUGAUGGGAACUCCUUAGUUCAGUCGGAACUAACUAAGGGCCUUGUCCCUUAUGAGGGGUAGUCCUUCGAUAGGACCUACAGGGCAGGCCUAUGACCCUACCCUAGGACUAUAACCCCAUCAUGCACCAACAAAUACAAAAGACAAAAUGAUCAAACCAUGACAUGACCAAAUGACCAAAUGACCAAAAGACAAAAUGUUUUUACCUGUAUCUUCCACUAUUUCAUCUCCUUCCUCCACUAUUUCAUCUCCUUCCAUUUCAUCUCCUAUUUCUCCUUCCAUUUUGUUUCCUGCAUCUGCAUCCAUUUCAUCCUCAUCUUCUGC
rnacentral:lncRNA from 1 species